rnacentral:snoRNA from 1 species
UGCGUUUAUCAUGAUGAUCGAUAUUUUAUUAACAGUUAUCCCUGUCUGAAUAUGACACAAAAAAACCAAUGUGGAAAAAUGUUAAUCUGAACACGCA